rnacentral:rRNA from 1 species
CUACGGGUUGCAGCAGUGAGGAAUAUUGCACAAUGGGGGGAACCCUGAUGCAGCAACGCCGCGUGGAGGAUGACGCAUUUCGGUGUGUAAACUCCUUUUAUAUGUCAAGAAAAUGACGGUAGCAUAUGAAUAAGCACCGGCUAACUCCGUGCCAGCAGCCGCGGUAAUACGGAGGGUGCAAGCGUUACUCGGAAUCACUGGGCGUAAAGGACGCGUAGGCGGGUUGGAAAGUCAGGUGUGAAAUCCUACAGCUUAACUGUAGAACUGCCACUUGAAACUUCUAAUCUAGAGUAUGGGAGGGGGAGAUGGAAUUAGUGGUGUUGGGGUAAAAUCCGUAGAUAUCACUAGGAAUACCUAAAGCGAAGGCGAUCUCCUGGAACAUUACUGACGCUAAGGCGUGAAAGCGUGGGGAGCAAACAGGAUUAGAUACCCUAGUAGUC